rnacentral:rRNA from 1 species
UACGUAGGGUGCAAGCGUUAAUCGGAAUUACUGGGCGUAAAGCGUGCGCAGGCGGUCUUGCAAGUCAGGUGUGAAAUCCCCGGGCUUAACCUGGGAACUGCACUUGUGACUGCAAGGCUGGAGUACGGCAGAGGGGGAUGGAAUUCCGCGUGUAGCAGUGAAAUGCGUAGAUAUGCGGAGGAACACCGAUGGCGAAGGCAAUCCCCUGGGCCUGUACUGACGCUCAUGCACGAAAGCGUGGGGAGCAAACAGG